CAUGUUCUACCUUGUCUGUGGACAUCGUUAUUUGCAAAGCCGGUGCUGGAUAAACAAAUAGCGUGCGUGCGACAGAGGGAAAGUUCUUUGGUGUUGCUUUAAAUACUUUUCCAAAGCACUGUGUUUUCCUUGUCUCCAAUAACUGUUGUUCAUUCUCUCAUAGAAUGUUGAAGCGCAAGAAAAAAUAACAGAAAAUCCUGAAAAACAAUACUUUAUUUAUUUGAAAUAAAAUGGACUCUACUAAAAAAAGUAGAAUACGUUGGUGACCAAAGUGGCAGAAAGACCAUGAUAUUUAGCUCCGUGAUCUCACAAACCAUUAAUUCUCUCAAAACAGUUGGGAGUUCUGAACUUCAGUUCCUCAAAUGAGAAAUGUGGUGAGAUUUCUUUUUGUACCUAACACAUACAGUACAUACAUACAUAUGCUGAAACCUUUUCAGUUGACCCAGUUGUAGAUGACGUUUUAUUUGAGCUGCUGUUUCUGACUGGCUGCAGACUGUUACUGACUAAAAGCCUUUGUUUUGUUUCAUAUCUAUUCUCUCUGUUUGAUUAUUAAUACUGUAGUCUCUCAAGGAUGCACUCCAGUAAAAUAAACAUUCUCAUUUUAAAGGUUUGAGACAGAGCCUCUGGUUUACUGUUGUCUUACGUUUAAGAAAAUUAAAAGGAUCUCAGUGUUCUGCACAGUGUUGAUGUAAAGAAAGUAAAUGUUGAUGUAGAAUGUGGAAACAGUAGUUGUACAACGUUUGUGCAUCACAAGCAAAAUAAAAAAAAACUAUUUGAUUAAAAAAAAAAUAUUUGUUGUGAAACACUGACAAAACAGUCAAGCAAGUGCUGGAAUCGUCCCCUGACCUUGGCACUGACCAAUUUGCUGCUACACGAUUCACCAGCCCCUAUUCCCAAAUAUCCUGAUUAUUCCUCAGGAUUCACUUUAGGAUUCACCAGCCCCUAUUCCCAAAUAUCCUGAUUACUCCUGUACACUUGGGAUUCACCAGCCCCUAUUCCCAAAUAUCCUGAUUACUCCUGUACACUUGGGAUUCACCAGCCCAUAUUCCCAAAUAUCCUGAUUACUCCUGUACCUCAAUGUUGUGAUCCUCGUAGGUAUUUUAUCGGCAUGGUAUGACCGCAAGCAGGUAUUUUAAAGACAGAUGUGGUCACACACCAAACCCUGACCAAAGUGUACUUUUGUAAACUUGUAUUGAUAGCUAGGUGGUCAGGUGCACAUUGGAAUAAAAUCUCUGUAAAUGCUCUGCUGCCAGUUAGUCUCACUGUGAAAUGUUAAAUAUUGAACAGGUCAAAGGAGAUUGAAUGCAUUAAAAAAAGAUGUAAAACGUCGAUUUAAAAAAAGUAUUGUGAUCAUGAUCACGAUGCUGAUUGUGUGGGGCGGUUGUAGUGUAGUGGCUGAAGAGCUGGGCUAGCAUGCAGUUGCUACACUGUCCCUGUAAUAACUGAUGUCUACACCUCACUUUGGAUAAAAGUGUCGGCAAAGUGAAUACGUAAUAAUAAUGACAAUUUGAGCACUAUGAUCAGAUCAGGCCAAGUAGAAACACCACCACAGACAAUAAGGUACCUCCUGCCUCAGCUUCAGGAUUAGUUCCUGUCCUUUUUACAGAUCUGUUUUCUCCACAUAUUAUUUGUGUGCUAAAAUCAUUUAAUCAUUUUCUGUGUUUUUAGUCAAGAAAACCAAUUUUCUUGAUACAGACGUGUUGCAAUAACUUUCUUGGUCACCACAGGACACCACAAGAUGGGACAUCUAUAUUUUCUAUGUGUGUGUGUGUGUGUGUGUGUACAUGUGUCAGUGUACAGUAUGUUUUGGACAUGUGUUCUUCACUAUGCUUAUUUAAAGGAUUUUGACAAUAAAAGAGAUUGACACAGAGUAUGAAGGACUAUUAAAGGAUGACUUGUUUUUUAUUAUUUCUUAUUAUUUCUUUCUUUGGAUAACUUCAAAAGUUGAUUUUUUUCUUUUUUUAAAGCAGCUGCAAGCUAUUUUGUUUUAGCAAGCUAGCUGGUGUCUCUUGGCUACUGUAGCCAACAUAAUGGUGUCCUGUUCUAACAACAGUGGUGUUUAUCUGGCCUGUAGAUGAACACACUAACAUCAAAAUUAAUUUAAAGAUGGUGCAUUAGUUACAAAGAAAACUUCAGAAAUGGUCAUUACACAACAUAUUGCUGAUUUAUAGGAAUAUUUAACAGAAUAAGAAUACCAUUACAAUAUUAUAUUAAUACAAUAAUCUAAAAUAAUUAGAUUUCUUUUUUUAAAAAACUGGGAAAUUCAGUUCAAGAACACUUUCACAACAAAAUACAAUACCAAAAUGUCAAACAUUCUCUGUAUCCCUAUACAGACUAAAAUAUGAGGUAGCAAUAAAUCAAACUACCUCAGUAUUACAUCGCUACUCACUACUACCUCAGUAUUACAUCGCUAAAUAAUAUUUACAUUUAAACAUGUGAUGAGGUUCCUCUAUAUGUAACGGAGGCGAACUGAGCUAGCGUGCUAGUUGCCCUUGGAAGCCUGGGCUUUUAGCUCAGUGGUUAGAGCGUUUGACUCCCAUGUCGGUGUGUGUGUUGAGGUGUGCGGCUUUGAGGGCCGUGAGCG